rnacentral:rRNA from 1 species
GAUGUUGGCUUAGAAGCAGCCAUCAUUUAAAGAAAGCGUAAUAGCUCACUGGUCGAGUCGGCCUGCGCGGAAGAUGUAACGGGGCUAAACCAUGCACCGAAGCUGCGGCAGCGACACUAUGUGUUGUUGGGUAGGGGAGCGUUCUGUAAGCCUGCGAAGGUGACCUGUGAGGGUUGCUGGAGGUAUCAGAAGUGCGAAUGCUGACAUAAGUAACGAUAAAGCGGGUGAAAAGCCCGCUCGCCGGAAGACCAAGGGUUCCUGUCCAACGUUAAUCGGGGCAGGGUGAGUCGACCCCUAAGGCGAGGCCGAAAGGCGUAGUCGAUGGGAAACAGGUUA